ACGACAGAGUUAGUUUCGCAACUUUUUUUCUUCUCCUUGUAUCAUUCUGUUUCAAUAUUUAUAUAUUAUGUUACAUCGGUGAGCUUCUCAUAAAAAAGAGCACUCAGAUUGGAUCGAUAUGCUACAUGAUUAAUUGGUAUCAACUAUCGCCAAUAUCAGCUCGCAGUCUUAUAUUGAUAAUAACGAUGUCCAGCCACCCUAUAAAACUUACUGCUGGUAGAAUGGUAGACCUGUCAUUAAAAUCUUUUAAAAGUGUACUACAAACUAGCCUGGCAUACCUGAGCUUCCUACGAAC